CCAGUGUGCAGUGGUAUGGCCAAACCAGAGGGGCCCUCUGCCCCAGCUGACCAGACGCCCUGGCUUCCGGCAACCAGCCACUAAAGGGUUAACACCCUCCUAAUAGGGACCGCCUCCCCUCCUCCCAUCCCCCCACCCUGCCGCUCUACUGGUCGCUCUACUGGUCGUUAGAGAAUUUGGCCAUCACCUCUUCAUUCACUCCAUCAUUCAAAAACAUCUAUUGCAAACCUACAGUGAGCCAGGUCCCAUGCUAGGUGCUGCCCUCAAUGUGUUCCCAAGCCUGUAGGGGAGAGACUUCCAAAUAUGGAUUAACACAGCGUGACAGGUGUCACAAUAGAGGCCUGCAGACUCUCCUGGGGGUCUCCAUGGUGGUGGGAAAGGUCUGCCUGGGGAGGAGUCUCAGAGGAGGAAUGCAAACUGGGUCUUGAAGGCCUUGGAGAUCAAACAAAGGACACUGGAUUAAAUGCAGCAGGAAGGAUCAGGGCUCAAAAGAAAGAAUUGCCAGUUUGGUGGAUUCAGCACAGGGAUCACCUCCUCCAGGAAGCCCUCCCUCAGGGCUCUGAGCACACAGCAGUGAACUCUGGGGUUCAGCUCCUUCCCUCUCGAGACUGCAGAUCCUUUGAGAGGGGACGUCUGUCAACAAACUCUAGGGAUCCCUCGCUGUUCCAGGCACUGUGCUAGGCUCUGAGGAUGGAGCAGUGAACAAGACCCACCCACAUCUUACGGUCCUGACAGGCUCGGUGGAGAGGCAAAGGGGCUGCUCACGCCUCCAGUGAAGACGGGCACGCUGCAUCUCUGAGCGCCAGGCUCCUCCUCUCCUUCUGUGGCCCUGAGCAGCAGCUGCAAUUAAGGAGAUCCUGGGCACUGACUUCUGGGAAAGGGAGGAUGUUCUCCCAGACAGAUCAGGAUGCUGGAAUUGUCUGCCUCUUCUUUGCUCCUGCCCCUCCUUGUUUUCCAUUGCACAGGACACACCUGCCGCCUGGACCGUUUAGGUACAUGGUGUGUUUACUACCGUUCCUGAGAUCAGGCGAGUUUCGGAUUUGUUUUUAAGAUGCUACAAGAGAGCUUAAAGGUCACCUUGUCCAACUGACCUGGCCUGCUCGAGCUUCAAGCUUCUCUCUGAUUGCCGCCCAGCUUCAGAGGAUACCUUAGGUGGCAAGAAGCACUAUCUCUCAGCAUGGUCCAAUUAUUCACUGGCCACUUCGGAAUGUUUAUUGAUUCAUUCAAUCAAAUGGUAUGUAUUGAAUGCUACAUUCUGAGCACUUACUAGUCACUAGGAAAUAAAUCAGUGAACAAAAC
rnacentral:lncRNA from 1 species